CGUUAAAAUUUUUAUCAAUUUUUAUUGAUAAAAACUGGCAUGGUUAACAAAAUAACUAAACAAUUAUACGUGGAGUUUCAAGUGUAACUCAUGCUAGCGUACAAUGACCAAUUUUUAAUAGUAAAAAUAGAUGAAUUUUUUAAUA
rfam:Gossypium raimondii Chr12_contig_846, whole genome shotgun sequence.